GCACAACUAAGGAGUCCCAAACAGGACUAAACAGCUGUCCCGUGC
rfam:Echinostoma caproni strain Egypt genome assembly, scaffold: ECPE_scaffold0000800